CUCAGUUUAGUCAUUUUUUUCUGAGUUUAGGUUGUUUUUUUAGAAUCUGUCGCACCAGAGCUUGCAGUAUAAUAAUAUGGGAGAGAAAACCAAGGCAAUGAUGACCUUAAAGCUGUGUUGACUCUGUGGAGUGAGUGUGUGUGUGUGUGUGUGUGUAUGUGUGCGUGCGUGCGUGUGUGUCUGUCUCUGUGUCUGUGUUUGCUGUGAUUGCACCCUGACCUGAAUCUGGUUCGCCGGGAGGUUUCCCAGCAUUUCACACUCAGUGUCCCAGUAGACGCUGAAGUCCUGGAUCUCCAGCUGCUUCUGACGCACAAGCUUCUGGACCUGGAGGGGAAGUGGCAUGGAGGGAUCAGGCUUUUAGAAUCACAAGAUCCUUUUGGCAGGGAGGCAGGAAGCUCUCGAAACGAACUCUCAGGGGAAGUUUAUUUGGUUUAUUUAAGCGAAACGUACGGGUUCUUUGGUAGAGUUCUGAGCCGACACAUUGUUGAUGCAAACGCCGAACGAAAAUGGCUUCCCUGGAUCGGAGAAGUCGUCCUCAAAUCUCAAGUGCACCCCUUGGAUGUUUAACUGCAAAGAACAACAACACAGAAUACGCAGUGACUGAGUGCCAGUACGACUCCCCUCUCUGUUCACACUCACUCUGGAGAGGAAGAAGAUCAAAACAUCAGCAUCCUGUCGAGAACCAUCACCAUUUUGUUGAGAUGAACCCACAACAAGACUUUUAUGAAAUGGAGCCACUUAGGACCUUGGAAUUGGGAAUCGACCUUGAGAGCUUAAUUCCUCACACUAAUCUUCCGUAGACGAUUACUAAAUCACAUUUUAGUUAUAAUCUUAUUCUAUUCUGUUUCAAAGUAUUAUAUUUUAUGUUCUGAAAACUUCUAUAUGUUUUAUCCACUGAUAUGAAUAUGUAAAGAAAUCUACCAAAACAAAGAGGUACAUUAUUCCACUCUGUACUCAGUCCAAGCUCAGUUUAAUCUAAGCUAGAUCUCGUAGAACUUUGAAGCAGGGCGAACUGUUAUUGUACCUUUAUAACUUAUUAAAUUGCGUAGUUGUUAUAAGUUUGGAUGGCUCUUUAUUUAUUUAUUCUACGUUUAGACAGAAACGAUUGCCGUGGUCCAAAGUCCCACCACAAUCUCUAAGCUAUCGAAGGCUGAUUGGAUCUCCGGCCGUCU
ensembl:lncRNA